rnacentral:lncRNA from 1 species
UGACAUAGGUAGCCAAAUCAAUUCUAUUAACUUUUUCAUAUAUCACAAUUCGGGAUGUUACAAUUCGGGAUGUUACAAUUCACACCCUCUCAAAGAACGCAAUGUCCUCGUUGCUCCCCACAAGACGCCUCUCGGUUCAGAACCGAGAUGGCUAACCUGGCUCUGAUACCAUUUAUAACACCCCGACCGCCCACGGUUAAUAGGCCACCCACGCCUGUUCUCGGUCGUGGUCUCCAUCCCGUCUGACGAGCAGUGCGUUA